UUGAUCCAUAAAAUAACUUCUCCUCCCAUAAGCGAAAAAAAACGUAUUACAUACUAGUUGCCUCAGUGCGACGCCAAUGAUUAUGAUGUUAACUAAUUUACUAUUUGGUGUCUCGAAUCUAGCUACAGCACCGUAUAAAUGGCUGAUGGAGGCAUAAUACGUGAUGUACCAGGAGGGAUCCCUAGACAAGUCAAUGUGUCCUGCAGUCCCACUGUGUUUCAAUUUGAACAACUGUCUGCAGAAACAUGUAUUCUGAUGAAUGUUCUGGGCUAUGGGCCUCACAUCCGACAGGCUCGGAUAGACGCAUACAAGGCUUAUGACAGGCAUAGGACUGCACGGACGGGUGGUAGUGUAACGUGGGUCACUACGGGUAGCAAGGCUGAGGGUCUUACCAACUAUAGGGAGAGUGAUACAGACUUAAUGUGGGUUACAAAUCAUGCAACGUGUUUAGAAGAAGGUGUUGAUUCAAGUAUUUUUCCUGGCGAGAAAAGCAUAUUUAGAUCCUGCAGUCGUAUUAGUUACCAUGGACACUGUAGAUUGCUACUAGAGAGAUACGGUACAUAUAUUCCUACAGCGGUGUACAAUGCCUUGUGUGAUGAUGGAUAUGGUAGUGGACUAUUAAGCAGUGAUUUAUAUGUUAAUCAGGUGUUGAACGGUCGUCAACAUCAAGAAUCAAGUGUGGAACAUGAGCGUGCGGGACCGUCUGCGCCAUUAACAAUUAAUGGUAUUGAUCAUAGAGAUAUAGUGGGUGCACUACACUUUUACUGCCCCAGCAUCCUAUCAAGAUGGGCGGCAAGACCUCGCAACUGGCCAACGCCUGACGUUGUUCAGGAGGUUGUAUCACUCGGAGCAUUUGUUUCUCCUGUUGGGGUCAAAGGCAGCGAUUAUGAACCUGUUGAAUGGAGAAUAUGUUUCAACACCGGAGAAAACGUACUGGUAAACAAUCUCCAUGACACUCAAGUGAAACUGUAUGUUUUAUUAAAAAUGGUGAAGAAUGAUGUACUAAAACCUUGUAAGAAAGAGGUUACAUCGUUUACAGUGAAAAAUAUUGUAUUAUGGAUAGCAGAAAAUAACCCACAAUCAUUGUUUAAUGAAAGAAGUAUGUUUCACUGGCUGCAUGAAGGAUUAUAUGCACUGAGAGUUGCUAUAGAUACGAAGGAGCUGCCCUAUUACAUGAUUCCGGAGCGAAAUCUGAUGGCAGCCUGUGCUCUGGAGCAUGAGCAGAAGCUUUCUUGGAUAGCUACUAUUGAUGAAAUGAUGACCGAAGGUCCGAGGCUCAUACUCAGACUACCGAAGAUACGACAAGCCAUCAUAGCUCACCCUGAGCCACUACGAUGGUACAGCGGGAGGAAAAUAGAGAUGGAGAUGCUGACGCUGAUACACACGAACAGAGUCACCCUCGGCAUGGAUAGAGAGACGGAUGUUAUUAUGCAGGCAGUACUUGAACGUCAGCUUGAGAUUGUGAGGGAGGUUUGGAUGAGGAUGAUUAUGGAAGGGGGUCGAGUAAAUGAUCUACAGAGUAUACGGAAUAGUAUGCUGAUGUAAAACGAGUACAUAUAUCAAACGCCAUUUGACUUGCACUUGAAACUCACAAAUAUAGAUGUAAGGAGUAAUCGUCUGUUGGUAAUUGAGAUUUAUUGUUUGGCAGAAUACAAUGGAAAUGUAAACUUCGUUAACAAAACAGUUCAUAUAAAAUUGUGAAAAAUGUUGUAUUGUUCCUAUAAUGUAUUUAAAACGACGAAACGAUGAUAAAGUGCUGAUUUAAAACAUUGAUCACAUUUCACGAUAAAAUACUUUUUCAAACAAGUUGGCUCUCGUAAAAUCGUAUCCCCAUGUUGAAUGCUAUCUAGGGUCUUAAACUAUGUCCAUAUGUGUUUUGUUGGAAAUGCCUUAUGUAAGAAUUGUAACCGCAAUCAACAAAAAGUUAAAGUGAAAGCAGGUUUAAUAUGUCUGUCAAUAUAAGAGAACAACAUGCCGAACCUUAUCCAUUAAGUAUAAAGAUGUGUUUUUUGUACUUUCUAAUUAAAAGUAUUUUUGGGAACGUUUCAUCGAUACUACGAAACGAUGCACCCUUGAACUAUGCUCUACAUUAGCUUGUACGUCAUGAAGAUGUUCAUUUCAAGAUAUAAGUGUUGAAAAUAUGUUAAGCCGGCUUGUGUUAUAUGAUCAAACGUCCGCACAUUUAUUUAGUUAAGAGGUUGCUUCAUAUGUCAACCUGACAUGCUAUUGUCGAGAUACGAUUUCAUGAAACUAGCUGCUGAAUUGUAUAUGUGUUUAUUGCGUACAAUGAAAACCAUUUUCGCAAAUUUGCUAAGAAUUUAAUAAUACAGUCAGUAUAGAUUUCCUUUUACCCAUUUUGUUAUUGAAGCUUAAUUUUGCUGUUUAUGUAUCAAAUAGUUUAUAUUGUAUUUUAUCCGUGGAUUAUGUAUUCUUUGUUUUUGGAUGAACACCUAUAAACCUACCUUUAGUACAGGUUCCGUCUAAAUAGCAUUUUGAUGUGUUUGUAGUCCCCUAUUGAAUCAAGUUAAUUUGAAGAAAUUUUCUUACAAUGUUGAAUUCUAAAAGGCCCAAUUUUCACCAUUUGGUACUGGUAAGCAACCUGAAAAGCUCCCUCCCAUCCUACAACUACAAUGUUUAUACCGGUCGGCCCCCAAAUAACCGCUACUUGAAUACGAUAAUUCUCACCAGAUUAUCGUCCUUGACGAGGAAUCCCUUCCGGUGUUUCCCUUGACGAUCUGGAGUAAAGGCAGAGCUGCUAUCUGGCCCCAAAAUUGGGGGCGACGUUAACGUUUUACUAAAAAAAGGGUCUUGUGAAUGAGACGAGAGUUUAAAGUGAACAGUUGACUUUGAAAAGGUAUAUAUGAAAAGUUAAAUGUGAAACAUUGAAUGGUAAAUAUUUCGUGUGAAAUGUUUAAUGUUAACUUGUUAUUGUAAACGAAACAAUAGUUCAAUGUGAACGGUGGAAUGUGAAAUGUUUAAUUUGAAAUGUUAAUUUUGUAGAGUUUGAUGUGAAAUGCUUAAUGUGUAAUUUCCUUUAACUGUUAGACAUUAAUUUGUACAGCUGUGCAUAAAUAAUUGAUUUAUUUCUAUAUAAUUACAAACAUAUGUUAUUUCAUUAUUAUUUUAAUCACAGUCAAGAACAAUAUAUUUGAGCAAAGUGCAAAUAGUUUAUA